rnacentral:rRNA from 1 species
GACGAACGCUGGCGGCGUGCUUAACACAUGCAAGUCGAACGGAAAGGCCCUGCUUUUGUGGGGUGCUCGAGUGGCGAACGGGUGAGUAACACGUGAGUAACCUGCCCUUGACUUUGGGAUAACUUCAGGAAACUGGGGCUAAUACCGGAUAGGAGCUCCUGCUGCAUGGUGGGGGUUGGAAAGUUUCGGCGGUUGGGGAUGGACUCGCGGCUUAUCAGCUUGUUGGUGGGGUAGUGGCUUACCAAGGCUUUGACGGGUAGCCGGCCUGGGAGGUGGACCGGGCCCCUGGGGACUAAGUGAGGCACCAGUCGCCAACGGGACGCAGUGGGGGGAAAUAUGGCGGAAUGGGCGGGAGCCUGUUGCAGAAACCCCGCGAGCGGAAUGACGGCUUUCGGGUGGAAAACAGCUUUCGCAGGUAACGAGCAGUGCUUGACGGUAAUGAAUAAAAAAGCCCCGGCUAACUACGUG